rnacentral:rRNA from 1 species
UACGUAGGUGGCAAGCGUUGUCCGGAUUUAUUGGGUUUAAAGGGUGCGUAGGCGGCUUAUUAAGUCAGUGGUGAAAGACUUCAGCUUAACUGAAGAACUGCCAUUGAUACUGAUGAGCUUGAGUACAGUUGAGGUGGGCGGAAUGUGUCAUGUAGCGGUGAAAUGCUUAGAUAUGACACAGAACACCGAUUGCGAAGGCAGCUCGCUAAACUGUAACUGACGCUGAGGCACGAAAGCGUGGGGAGCGAACAGG